CCACCGUAGCACCGCGAAUCCAGAACCGUCCACUAACGGCCAAUUCAAGCCUCACUCGUCAACAGCCGUGUCCCAGAGCUCUCCGGGCAUGCGCAGGACGAGUCGAGCGCGGACGGUCACCUGCAGGUGACGUAGACAGUGAAUGACGAAUUCAUAGUUUUCGUGGUAUAAAAGUCACAGUGCAAGUUAGAUCAUUUUAAACCGUGCUAGAUAUUUAUGGCACCCGUGUUUCGGUUUUGUUGUGAAACCACACCCAUCUCCCAAGAUUUCUGGAGGCCACAGGUUUCACCUGAGAAGAAAGAGCUGCUCACAGCUGCCCACCAACCCCGCGUGAUGAGCAGAUUUCAGAAGGCUGGAGACCGGAGCGAGUAGAAUCGUCUAAUUUGGAGCUACAACCCAUAACUGAGAAGGCCUCCCUUCACAGGGUUGAAGACCACCGGUGCAGAGUGACCCACAAGACUGACUGGACUGGACCGGCGUCGCUCCUGAAAUGACCACUCAAGAUGUUUCAGAACUUGGCAUUUCAGAAUAAAAUACA